AGGUCUUAGGAUACUUGGAGUUAAGCGUCCUUAGGUUUGAAUAAUACUGGGCUGGAUGACCUCCUAGGAAGUUUAAAUUUAAGAGCUU
rfam:Selaginella moellendorffii unplaced genomic scaffold SELMOscaffold_32, whole genome shotgun sequence.